AAAAACCCUUGAUCUCCCUUGGUUCAGAAACUGAGGAAAAUAACAAAAACGAGAAGGGGAAAAAGCAAGCAAACUGCAAACCCCAAUCCCUCCAUUUCUUUCUAAUGUCGUUCUGAGAAACCCUGUAAAAGAGAUCCCCAUUUGUCUCUGUUCAUUCAGUUCCUCUCUCAGAUUUCUAUCUGACCAUGUUUUCAUCCCCAUUUGUUCUAUCAUUUGCUCUCUUACUCUCCCUACCUCUGCUGUUCCUUCUCGCCCCUCGAAUCCUCCCUCCCCGGCACCUCCCGAUCUCUCUCCCUGACGAACUCGACGAUCUUGCGCUCUUCCGCCGAGCUUCUCUCGCCGACUCCGCCUCACAUUCUUCCUCUUCCUCCGCGUUCACUUUUUCUCAUCUGGGCACCACCAAUCCUCCGCCCAAGAUCGCCUUCUUGUUCCUCACCAACUCCGACCUCUUCUUCGCUCCUCUCUGGGAGAAGUUCUUCAAUGGCAACCACAAUCUCUUCAACAUCUACAUCCACGCCGACCCAUCUAUCAAAUUGAAUCCUCCCGGCGGAGUUUUCGAAGGCCGAUUCAUCGCUGGGAAGAAGACCCAGCGCGCCUCCCCCACUCUAAUCUCUGCUGCCCGUCGUCUCCUCGCCACCGCUCUGCUCGACGAUCCCGCCAAUUCCUUCUUCGCUUUGGUGUCUCAGCACUGCAUCCCACUUCACUCCUUCCGCUUCGUCUACCACUCCCUCUUUGCUUCCGCUCCCGUCGAGUCAUCCUCCGCCGAUUCGGACACCUCCUCGACUCGGUACGAUCAACCGAGGUAUCCAAGCUUCAUCGAAAUACUAUCGAAAGAGCCCGGUCUAUGGGAGAGAUACACGGCGAGAGGGAGAGACGUGAUGAUGCCAGAGGUACCCUUUGAGCAAUUCCGAGUUGGGUCUCAGUUCUUCGUGCUUACGAGGCGGCACGCCUUGUUGGUGAUCAGGGAUCGGAAGCUGUGGAGGAAGUUCAGACUUCCGUGUCUGAAGACCGAGUCGUGUUACCCGGAGGAACAUUACUUCCCAACUCUGCUUUCAAUGGCGGAUCCAAAGGGUUGCAGCCACUUCACGCUCACAAGAGUGAACUGGACUGGCAGUACCGGCGGACACCCACAUACGUAUCGGCCAGCCGAAAUAUCGCCUGAGCUAAUUUAUAAGCUCCGUGUCUCCAAUUCGACUUAUUCCUAUUUGUUUGCUCGGAAGUUCUUGCCGGACUGUCUGAAUCCAUUAUUGGAAAUCGCCGACACCGUCAUUUUCCGGGACUAACGCAAGCCCCAGGUAGAACGAGUGAAGGGAAUAAACGUACGGUGGUGGAAGAGGCAUAAAAAAAGGUGAAAGGCCCAAGCCCAGAGAAGAGCCCAACUUCAAACUUAAAAAAGAAGCAAAAAAGAGUUGGUCUUUUUGUUUUUGCUUUUUGUUUUUGUGUGAUGUUUGUAAAUACGAGUAGCGUGGGUCGUCGAUGAAGAAUCAUCGACCGUAUAUACCUGAUGAAAAAUGCUAAAUCAACGGUGGAUGGUGCCCAGAGUGGAAAAGAGAGAAGCACUAAGGAGCCAAGGAGGCCCCACUGCUUUUUCUUCCCUUUUUCCUGCUCUCGUUUGGCUUUAGCUCCCCUCAAUUUUCUUUUUUCUUUUUCUUUUUGUUUCUUAUAAUGGCGCUAUGUAGACAUAAAGAAAGGAAAACGUAUCAUCGCCAAUGGGAAAAUGAAGGGUUUCUCUGGAUCUGAUUUGAUUCAUAGAUCUACAAUUCUACACUGGUGGUGGUGGGUAUAACUGGGCUGGAGGGCUUUCUUUAUUUGAUGGGCCGGAUUGGUAAUUAUUUUAAUGGGUUGAUGAUGAGAAAGAUGGUGCAGUCUUCAGUGGUUGGGUCCAAAAGAGCCAUGGCUGGACCCCUUAUUAUUAAUGGGGUGUUUGGAUUGUUUGAUACCUUGCUAUUAUUGUAGUGUAAUCAUUUCAAUUUUGGUUUUCAAUGGCA